rnacentral:rRNA from 1 species
UACGUAGGGAGCAAGCGUUGUCCGGAAUCAUUGGGCGUAAAGCGCGCGUAGGUGGCUUCGUAAGUCCGUUGUGAAAGUCAAAGGCUCAACCUUUGAAUGCCGAUGGAUACUGCGGAGCUAGAGUACGGAAGAGGCGAGUGGAAUUCCUGGUGUAGCGGUGGAAUGCGCAGAUAUCAGGAGGAACACCGGUGGCGAAGGCGGGUCUCUGGGCCGAUACUGACGCUGAGGAGCGAAAGCGUGGGGAGCGAACAGG